rnacentral:rRNA from 1 species
GACGAACGCUGGCGGCGUGCUUAACACAUGCAAGUCGAACGGUGAAAGCGGAGCUUGCUCCGCUGGAUCAGUGGCGAACGGGUGAGUAACACGUGGGCAACCUGCCCCUCACUUCGGGAUAACUCCGGGAAACCGGGGCUAAUACCGGAUAUGACCUCCUUGGGCAUCCUUGGAGGUGGAAAGUUUUUCGGUGAGGGAUGGGCCCGCGGCCUAUCAGCUUGUUGGUGGGGUAGUGGCUCACCAAGGCGACGACAGGUAGCCGGCCUGGGAGGGCGAGCGGCCGCACUGGGACUGAGACACGGCCCAGACUCCUACGGGAGGCAGCAGUGGGGAAUAUUGCGCAAUGGGCGAAAGCCUGACGCAGCAACGCCGCGUGCGGGAUGACGGCCUUCGGGUUGUAAACCGCUUUCAGCAGGGAAGAAGCCGCAAGGUGACGGUACCUGCAGAAGAAGCACCGGCUAACUACGUGCCAGCCGCCGCUGUAA